AAGUCGUAACAAGGUUUCCGUAGGUGAACCUGCGGAAGGAUCAUCAGUGAACACUUUUCACUAUUUUACACACCCCUUUUUGUGCAAAUUGGCGGUCUGAAGGUGUUUUGUUUGUGGUUGCCCUUCAUUGAAGGGGGGUCCGCAAACAAACACACUCUAAGGUGCCGCCCAUUUUUUUAACAACAACCCCUUUUAUCCCUUUUUUUUCAAAAACAUACCCAAUACAAAAAAACUAAAAGACAACUUUUAACAACGGAUCUCUUGGCUCUC
rnacentral:misc_RNA from 1 species